rnacentral:tRNA from 1 species
GCAGGUGUGGCGGAAUUGGUAUACGCGCACGGUUCAGAGCCGUGUCCCGCAAGGGUUGGAGGUUCGAGCCCUCUCACCUGCACCA